rnacentral:rRNA from 1 species
GACGAACGCUGGCGGCGUGCUUAACACAUGCCAGUCGAACGGAAAGGCCCUGCUUUUGUGGUGUGCUCGAGUGGCGAACGGGUGUGUAACACGUGAGUAACCUGCCCUUAACUUUGGGAUAACUUCAGGAAACUGGGGCUCAUACCGGAUAGGAGCCCCUGCUGCAUGGUGGUGGUUGGAAAGUUUCGGCGGUUGCGGAUGGACGCGCGGCUUAUCAGCUUGUUGGGGGGGUAGUGGCUUACCAAGGCUUUGGGGGGUCGCCGGCCUGGGAGGGGGAACGGCGACAAUGGGCCUGCGGGAGGGACCAGUAUGCAACGGGAGGCAGCAGUGGGGAAUAUGGCACAAUGGGGGGAAGCGUGAGGCAGAAACGCCGCGAGCGGGAUGAUGGGCUGUGGGUGGUAAACCGCUGUCGCAUGUGACGAAGCGUGAGUGACGGUAAUGGGUAAAGAAGCACCGGCUAACUACGUG